AUGGCGUGAAAGCUGAAAGAAGGAAUGAUGUGCCACCGACGACCACAGUUUUUAAACAGCGGACUUCCGACAGAUUUCUUUUCUGAUAUUACUUCGUAAGAGAGAGAAAAUGAUGGAAACAAUUGAUUUGGUAAUGAAUUCAACAAGUGAUUUGAUGAUAACUUGCACAAUAAUUAACCUGAUGUCGACCAAGUCAUCCGAUUACCACUUAUCCGAUGCACAUCCUGAGCCAAAAUUGGAAGUGGAAUACAGGCCUACGAUCGAGUUAACAUCAACAUCCUUGCAGGUGGAUAGGUGAAUGUUGCUUGGACGGCAUCUGCAAUUCCGCAUGUGGUUAUCUUACGCGCAAGAAUUGUCCACAUUAACCAAGACUUCAACACCAAGAAAGACGACUGAUGACCACCUCAUGCAUAAUGAGCCACAAGUGGAAGAGGCUUACCUCGAGUACAUUUCACCAUCCAUGUGUCCUGGUCAGCGAGGAAUGGAACGGGUUUUCAUCAGGAGAUGCUGGAGGAAUUUGUGGAUAGGAGAAUGCUGCUUGGAAGUCAUCCACUGAUCCGCAUGUGCUUAUCUUACGGUGAGAUGAGAUCUGAUGUCAUUGCUGACCAUCCCCAUCGAGUUGCCACUUGAGAGGACCCAGUUUAUACUUUGAGGAGUAAGAUGAGAUGUGGAAAAUGGACUUCGGUCGACGAAUAAUACCAUGCAGAUGCAGUGAUUGGAAAGUUCAUCCGAUGCAGUCUCAUUUUGGUCAGGAGUGAUUGCAAAGAUCCAGUUGAUCUUAUGCAUGUCUUCCGCUGACCAGAGCCUAAGGGCCACCACACAUCUUACGAUUGCUCUGCGACCCGAUUUUGGAAUAAAACGUAAUAUAAUUUGAUUCUAAUAUUGAGACAUGGAAUAUCUGUCUGUCUCAAUAUUCUACAAAUUCGUACGAAUACCUAUGUUCAAAUCUGUGACUAUGCUGUCAUCCUUAUUAGAAUAAAAGUUAAUCCAAUAGCUAGUCGUAAUGACGUCAUAGCUAUCAUACGAUUUGAAACCAAUUUGGCCUUAACUAAAAAAAAUGAAGGCUUGCAAUCAUCCUAAUUUGUUAUAUUAGUAUUCUUACAGUUAAUUUGAACCUGAAAUAAACAAAUAUAUUUUUCUUUUCACAUUUUGAGAAAACGAGCGAAAUGCGAUUUGUUCCAGAAUCGGAUCGUUGACCAGUCGUAAGGUGGCUUUAAGAGACUUUGCGUUACAUGACGGGAAUGUUUCUAUUAAAUAUAACAGUAGGAUUCGAUGGAACAAAAAAAGUCAACCAAUUUGGUUCACCUUUCACGAAUGCGAGAACGUUGCUCUUCUACUUCUCCAUUAUCUGUUUUGAAAUUUUAUUGCAUUAUUUGGACGAAAAAGCGUAAAGAACAAGGUAACAAAACUUUCGUCUACCUUGUGGACGGGAAUCUUUGAAUUUUAUACAUUACCUGAGUGUGGAUUCGAGACUGAAUUCUAAUAAGCGUUCUCAGGGACGUUCCCUUGAUGUAUGCCAAAGUCUCUAACAGUCUAACUUGUCUAGAGGGGUGGUAAUUCAGGCACUUUGUUCCAUUUCAAAUAUCAUAAAAAAAAUUUUUAAGGCUUCAUUUGGAUUUCAGCAGAAACACGUGUGGUUCAUGGUGAUUCCCAAAGGAAUAGGCCCUAAUUAUUGGUAAUGCAUCAAAUCUAGAUGUUAAAGGACAAUAUUUUUUUCUUCAAAAGCUCGGUCGCUUUGCUUCAUCGCAUGAAUCCCCUCAAAUCGAAUAAUUUCACGCCCUUGUUAAGCAUAAUAAAUGUUCAGUGUUUGCAGCAUUCUUACAGGUUAAAUGUUUUUUUUUAAUGUUACCCUAGGGCAACACUUUGAGGGAGAGCAGAAAAAAUGGGGAUGAAGAAAAAUUAUAAUCUUUAUCAUACAAAAGGUAAAUGCACCAAAACUGAAGUUUGGGAGAGUUAAAAUUCCACAUUUUCUUCUUUCAGCUCACUUGCCGAUUUUUUUUCAAUGAGAUAUCCUUCAGCAUCUCAUGAGAUUUCUACUGUUGCUCUAGAAACAACAGGCUUUGAAUAUUUAUCAUUUCAUAAAGGAAAUAUAAGUUCGCAGCAUAGCCGGUUGAAGUAGGAGGGGCAGGAUAAUUCUACAAUACGUAUAAAAGUAUGUGGGAUAAGACCAUAUACUGUGGAAAGGUGGGCUCAUUUCCAUGGUCUUAGAACCCCCCCUCUUGAAAAGAACGUGGGAGCUUGCACUUUUUUGUUGAAUCUUUACCUGAAUUAAACACAACUAUUACGCGUGUCUCUAUUUUGUGUUAGGCAAGCCAAAAUUUUGCGACAUCCUCCUCAAGAAAUUCUUCGGUGUGUUUUUGCUGUGUUGGUACAGGCGCCCCGCCGGAACAAGCGUUAAAAAUAGCACCCCUUCCAGUAUUCGACCGUCAAUUCCCGGGGGUGGAGGGGGGGGGGUGCUUUCACUGAAAUUGCGCAGCUUCCACCAAAAUAAUGUGGACAUUAAUUGAAAUCCUAAUCCCAAAACGCGAUAUCCUGUGCCUUAUAUCCGUGAAAAGAACUAAUAUUACACCAAAAUUAUUUGGUAAAGGUGGUGAAAACUUUCUGUGCUGCUUAUUUUGUUUUACAGAUUGGGAGUUGAAUCAAUGAAAAUGACAAAAAUGCCCCUUUCCUCCGUCCAUCGGCUAUGAUGCAGGAUGCGGACUUACAUGUAUGUUUAUGUGGGUUGUUUUACAAUCAGUGCAUAUCAUCAAAGAGGCCUACCGUGCAUCAUAAUAAAUAUGUGUACUGUAAUCUUAAAUCUAUGGUGGCAAGAUAUUGGGCACUGUUAGAGCAAAUUGCAAGAAGGGGAAAUUAUUGAAUAUACUUUUACUUCUCAAAGUUUACCAUAUGCGGCAUUUUAGGGCAAAAAUCGCCUUCUUAUGUCCUCAUUUUCCCAAUUUCGAGCUCGCGCAUCUCUAUGAUUUACAAUCAUUAUGCAUUGUUUUCCAAUCAGAAUUGAUUAUUGAAAUUGUUUAAAAACCCCAAAUUCUCAGAAGCUGCGGACAAUUUUAUUUCUUUAAUGACAACCAAUAAUGAGUGCCAAUUCUAUCGAUAAAUGUUAUUUUCUUCCGAACUCUAUAUUUUCACUCAUAAUGAGACAUUACCUGAUAGAUAAUGUUUUGACUUUAAGAAUACUUGUGUAAUUAUAUGCAAACAAAUCCAUUUGUCCACUUCCGCUUAUUUUUCCAGUCAUAUGUGUUCCACUGUUGUCAAAUCAAUUUCUGUCCAAAAGAGUCAUCCUUUGCGAAAAAAUUGACAGUUGACACAACAUCUAAUUUAAAGAUUGAACCCCCACAAAAAUAAAACUGGCCUUUAAUAUAUAUGCCUCACAAUGUAACUAACACUAUUUCACCCUUUUUACACGCCAAAAAAUGAGGAAAACCAAAGAUUUUUUUUGUCGAAUGAGACAGCUGGUAUACCCUGAUUGUAAAACAACCCCUAUAGCCUUCAGGGCCCCAUCUAACAAAGAGUGGCAGUUAAUCCGAUCAACCACAGCUAUGGAAAGCCAUCAACGUCAACAUCUAAAGUGCAUGUUUGUUCAAAAUGUUUCUAGAUAUAUUUAUUUAUACAUUCAUAAGCUUUCUUGAAAAUUCAGCGUGCUUCUCUUUGUUUACAGAGGAUAUCGUGCAAAUUUCAUGUAGAAAAUAAUAUGCCAAUAAUGGAUUUCCAUAUAGUUGAGGCUGAUCGGAUCAAUCGUAACUCUUUAUAAGAACGAUACAAUUCUGUUGAAUGCUCCAUGUGAAAUGUUCAAUGUUGUUGUUCUAAUAUCCAUGCAAAAUGAUGUGUAUUAUAUAUUUUUAUAAAAUAGUGAUGCGGAUCCUUGUUAUUUGAUAAACCAUUCUAAUCCCAAAGCAUGACUGGUUAAAACAACUGAUCAUGAAAACCUGUCAUUACCAAAUUUUCAUGUUAAAAUGCUGAAAUUAUUUCUGACUGGUCACAUGACAAGAUUUCAGUCAGUGAUUUUAUUAGGAUCCAUAUCACCAUUUUAUAAAGAUAAUUAAAUGAUUGUGUUACACCCU